rnacentral:rRNA from 1 species
UUGGAGGGCAAGUCUGGUGCCAGCAGCCGCGGUAAUUCCAGCUCCAAUAGCGUAUAUUAAAGUUGUUGCAGUUAAAAAGCUCGUAGUUGAACUUCGGGGUUUACCCAUUGGUCAGGCUUAAUUGUCUGUACUGGUGAGAUAAAUCUCUACCUUCUGAGGAACUUUCAUGCCAUUUAGUUGGUGUGAUAGGAAAUCAGGACUGUUACUUUGAAAAAAUUAGAGUGUUUAAAGCAGGCUAACGUCUGAAUACAUUAGCAUGGAAUAAUGAAAUAGGACGGAUUGGUUCUAUUUCGUUGGUUUCUAGGAUCACCGUAAUGAUUAAUAGGGAUAGUUGGGGGCAUUAGUAUUCAAUUGUCAGAGGUGAAAUUCCUGGAUUUAUUGAAGACUAACUAUUGCGAAAGCAUUUGCCAAGGAUGUUUUCAUUAAUCAAGAACGAAAGUUAGGGGAUCGAAGACGAUCAGAUACCGUCGUAGUCUUAACCAUAAACUAUGCCGACUAGGGAUCGGACGAAGUUAAUUUUAUAAUGACGCGUUCGGCGCCUUACGGGAAAC